GAUGAACGCUGGCGGCGUGCCUAAUACAUGCAAGUCGAGCGAACGGACGAGAAGCUUGCUUCUCUGAUGUUAGCGGCGGACGGGUGAGUAACACGUGGAUAACCUACCUAUAAGACUGGGAUAACUUCGGGAAACCGGAGCUAAUACCGGAUAAUAUUUUGAACCGCAUGGUUCAAAAGUGAAAGACGGUCUUGCUGUCACUUAUAGAUGGAUCCGCGCUGCAUUAGCUAGUUGGUAAGGUAACGGCUUACCAAGGCAACGAUGCAUAGCCGACCUGAGAGGGUGAUCGGCCACACUGGAACUGAGACACGGUCCAGACUCCUACGGGAGGCAGCAGUAGGGAAUCUUCCGCAAUGGGCGAAAGCCUGACGGAGCAACGCCGCGUGAGUGAUGAAGGUCUUCGGUUCGUAAAACUCUGUUAUUAGGGAAGAACAUACGUGUAAGUAACUGUGCACAUCUUGACGGUACCUAAUCAGAAAGCCACGGCUAACUACGUG
rnacentral:rRNA from 1 species